UGGGGAAUAUUGCACAAUGGGGGAAACCCUGAUGCAGCGACGCCGCGUGAGCGAUGAAGUAUUUCGGUAUGUAAAGCUCUAUCAGCAGGGAAGAAAAUGACGGUACCUGACUAAGAAGCACCGGCUAAAUACGUGCC
rnacentral:rRNA from 1 species